GCAUGUUGGCAGCACUUUGUGCAGCUUGUCAUGUCACUGACAUCACUGAAGUGAAGAGAGAGCUCCCCAGCUCUGCAGUGAGGGCUCACUUCCCAGUCUCCCUUACGUGUCAUGUGGUUAUUUCCACCCGUGCCAGUUGCUACCCAGUGAGAAUGGUGCAGGAUUUGUAUACCCGCUUUGCACAAGUGCAAAUGACUGCACAAGGUGCAGGGAAAUGGAGACCCUGGCAUGCUGCCUCGGGCUCUUGGCAGCACGUCCUGACUGCUGACCCUGGAAUAGAACCAGAGGAGAAUAUUUUCCUCCUGAGCAUCUGGGAUCCAAACACUGCUGUCCUUGUGCAGGCAAAAAUACCUCUCAUUUUCAGUGCAGGCUGUAGCCCCUGAGUCUCAGCCUCAAGCUGCCUGUCUCCUUUCCUUAUCCACUCUCUUAACACCCCUGGUAACAACAGUGCCAAUCAAGCACAGCAUUGAAUGCAGACAGCCUUGACUAAGCGACUCCGUGAAGAGCUGUCAGCCAUGGAGCUGUCACAACCUCAUCAGCUCUGCAUGGAAGGAGCCACUGCUUGAUAUUCUAGCCUUACGCUGCGUGUCGAGACUGUGCGCCGUGCUUGACAGGGAGAUGGCUUCCUGUGCCGAGAAUCUGCCUCCCAGGUGUCAGCACUCGUUGCAGGGAUUGUGGCUGGGCUCAGCCGGUCUAGCUGCAGUCAGGCAGGAGGGUGUACGGAGGAUGGAGUUUACUGGUGCUUUGGGGGUUUGAGAGUAUGGGAAGUCCAACAGGACGGAUGGGAAAUCCUCUGGCCCCCAAACUGUGUGGCCAAUAAACAGAUGCUGUAUGCUGCUCCAGAGGUGGCUGCCCUGAAGUGGAAGGGGCUGAUCCCAGAGAGCCUCUUCUCCACUCUUCCAGUUCGUCUUAGUGCCCUGGAAUGGUGCCGUCGCACUCCCACACAAUGAUUAUGCGUGUUACAUUAGACGCAGGGAGCAGUGUGACCAGGGAGAAAGGGGCUCAGAGGAGACCAGACCACAGCUCUGGGAUUAACAAAACAAACGUAAACUUCAUCUUGCAGCUGAGACGCCUUUAGAAACUGUCUCCAGGAGGAGAGGGGGGAAGUUUUGUGCUCUGGUUAUCUGCAAAUAGUCUGUCAUUUCUGAGGAGACGAGACGCAUGCACGCCAGGGCUGAGGAGGCAGUACCUACGAGAGAGGCCCCAGCUGAGGGCACGGCCACAAAAAUCUGAACACACGUCACCAGGGUUCUGAGCCUCAUUUGACAGCUGGAGAAUGGGGGCACGGAGUGGUAAGCCUC